rnacentral:lncRNA from 1 species
AGAAAUCAGAAUAUUGGAUAGCAGUAACUAAGGCCAUUGGCAAUUUCUAUCAUAUAUCAUAAUUUAUUUGUGUGAUUCCUUUACCAACUACAUGUUUCUAUUUGUUUCCUAUAUUUUGUUUGUUCCUGAAUAUUUUAUGAAUUGUGUAUUUCUAUUUUAAUACAUAAGACUCUUUUUCAUGCAAUUUACUCAAUGGCCUAUAUGAGAAGCCCUAAAUAAAGCUAUUCCUCAUUUGUACGCUUUCUUACUUAUAUAGAUCAAAAUAUGGAAUUCUCUGCAGGUUAACUAAUACAUGCAUCAGCUUUGUAUCAUAAAGAUUUCACCAUCCCAAGGUAAUGGAAAUAAGUUCACAAGAUUCUCAUGUUGAGGUCUGUACAAAGAGAUACAAGGCAAUGUCUGUGUGCUGGAAGGAGAAACUCACUGCCAAAGCUAUAAUCCCUGAUGCUAAAGCCUGCAUGUUCAGAUCUGCAGAGUUUACUCAUAUUACUGUAUGGUAUAUUAUUAACUUUCUUUUUAUACUUCAUAUUUGCAACUUAUGUCAUCCAUUUUAGUAUGAUUUUACUUUUCAGACAUUUAUUAAAAAAACUGCAGUUAGGUUCUUCACAGCUAGGAGCUCUUAAUCAAUUGUAGUUAUACUGAAAGAUUAAGAUGGAGGGAGUCAUUAAAAAUCAGCAAUUGUUCCAGCCAACCGGUAGUAGUGGGUGCAGCAUUUGAAGACACCAAAACGAGCCUUGGACUCUGAUGGAUGUAAUGCCUGCCAUUUAUAUAUGUUGAUUUAGUUCUACUAAACAUAUGCAUGAAAAAAAAGUUUGUAUUUGCUGACAUAUAUCAUGUAUUUUAGCAUGAUUUUACUUUUCAGACAUUUACUACAAAACUGCAGUUAGGUGCUUCAGAGCAAGGAACUCAUAAUUUUAUUUUUUCUGCAGAAUGAUUAAUACAGAGGGAGCCCUUUUGUCAGGUCAUUUAAUC